UAUUCUCAGCCCCCAAGUAGCCAUAUUUCUGGAUCAUAUCCCAUGGUAAGUCUUGAUUAAUUAGUAUAUGACUAAUUCAAACACUGCCUGCUAUUUGUCAGCAUACUGAACUACUGAGAUUAUGCAGCAAGUAAAUGUACUGAUGUACUUUGUGAAUGAUUUAGUUCAAGAGAGAUGGGGAAGAAGAUGAUCCUAAUAGAAGCAAUUCCAACGGUGCUUCUAGAGGAAAUUGGCG
rnacentral:misc_RNA from 1 species